ACUUCAACAUAUCACCUGCCCCGUUUAGAAGAGAUUCUAAAUGUGUAUCGCGUGAAUUCAGAGAAAACCUACGUUCUUUUAAUUGAGCGUGAGAUGUGCCGAGGAAACCUCGACAAUUUGUACGCCCCGCUGAGCUUACAGCAUCAGGCUGGUGAGAAUAUGGCAACUCUGAGCCAAGCCGAACCAAAAACUCGUCUUUUGAGUAAACCAAUACUUUGAAAGUAAGUUCGGAAGGUGCAACGACUAUCCCUUUAGGGAGUAGGAGUCAAGAGGCUUCGAAGUGCGCGACAUCUCAAGUAGAUGAUGAUAUAGUCUGAGCUUUAUCGAAAGAUAAAG
rnacentral:ncRNA from 1 species